GAAACAUUACUAUGAUUCUAAGGUUGGAAACUAUGCAAACUGUUGGAAAAAACUGGAAUUGACUGGCUGUGUUUGGUUUGGACAACUCAUCGAAAUGAGAGGGAGCCCAGCACGAGUUCUGCUUGAGUGAUGUCUGAAAAUCUGGCCUCUCAGUCUACCUUAAAAGCCUACCUAUUUGGCUUUCACUAGAGUUCAGAUACAUAAAACAAAUAUCUUUGCUUUGGCUUCCCUUGAGUCAUAUCAAUCUACACCUCAUCAAGAAUAUGAAGUUUGGAAGAACAAAGAAGCAAUUGAGCAUCCUAAACUCAACGUAGGGCAAGUAACAUGGACAUUGAUACACCAAGUUCCUUCUUGUUUUUCCUUGAAAGUUGGCUUGAUGAAUGUAUUCUGCAGGGAUUUUAAAGGUGUGGAAAUGAAGCAGACAUCAAGGACUGCUGCAGUUUACUGGGGGUCCACUCCAGACCUUAGUUGCUUCAGUUUUUCCCUGUACCUGGAGGUAUCGUCAGUGAAGCCUGCAAAACAGCAAAGAUGGCAGCCUGCUCCUUCCUCUGGAAGCUCCAUCCCAGGGAUGCACUGACCUGUUGCCAGAAGGAACAUGCCUGUAGGAGGUGGCUGGAGACCCCUGCUGGGAGGUCCCACCCACUCGGGAGGAAUGGGAUCAGGGACCCACCCCAAGAAGCCCUCUGGCUGCCCUUUGGUAGAGUAGGUGCCAGGAGACCCUUCCUUGCCUGGACCAUUUGUAUUUUCCAAAGUUGGCAGGCUGGAAUGGCUGAGUUUACCAAACUGCAGAGAUGACAGCUGCUCUUCCCCUGUGAGCUUCAUUCCAGGGAGAGAUCAGAACUUUGUCUGUAGAACCCUUGCUUGUGUGGCUGAAGCCCCUGCAGGGAGGACUUGCCCAGUGAAGAGGAAUAGAUUGAGGUACCGCUUAAAGAAGCAGUCUGGCCAUGAUCUGGCAAGGCAGCUGUGCUGUGCUGCAGGGAACCUCUCCUUGCUCGAACUUCUUGUAUUCUUCAAAGCUAGCAGGCUGAAACCAAUAAAUUUAAAUUUAAAUAGGUAAAAAUAAGUAAAUAAAGAUAAAGAAAAAUAAAUUGACUGAUUUAUUCUGCCUUCAGGAGCUCUUAGAUGAUGUAGGAAAACAAAUAAUACUGUACAAUCAAAGUCGAAAUUCCUUAAGCAGAGGGUCUUAUGAGAACACAAAGGGAAGGCAACUGGAGCUUUACAGAUGACUUCCUAGACUAGAGAUACCUGAUGUGGGUCUUUAGGGUUAAGUCAUUAAUAGCAAGGCCAAGUAGAGGAAGAGCAUAUCCUACAGAGAAAAAAAGAAUAAGCAAAGGCUGGCUGUUGAGAGAAUUGCAAGUGCUUAGUAUGACUAUAGCGGUAGUCUCAACAGGAGCAGGACAUCCUUAGGGGAUGUUUUGAAAAAUUUUUGUGGAAUUUUCUUGGUCCCAGUAAUUAGUAAGCACUAUUAGCCUUAAAAUGAUAAAGGGCCACUGAGCUAGAUGUUCUGCAAUGGGCAAGACAAUUGCACACAAUGAAAAAUUGUCCCAAGUUCAAGUUUGGACAAGUUAGGGAUGUCCCUCCAGGCAUUUUUGUCAAUGAAAAACCUCUUUGUAACUGUCUUGGCAUAGAGCCUAACUCCAUAUAUACAUAUAACACAAAAUAUUUUUGCACAGUUUUAAUAUACACUAAAUUUUCCAGGGACACAAUUACAUAAAUUAAGGAAAGAUCAUGCUUUGCUGUGUUUGGAACUUAUCAAGAGUCAUUCACCAUUCUAGAAAAUAGCAUCAAAGAUGCAAUAUAGCUCUUGGUGUCUGAGUUGCCAGUUCAGCCAUCUGUGUCAAUCUGUAUUUGUAGAUAUUGCAGUCAAGGUGAUAUUAUUUUUAAGCAAAAGUGUCUGACAACUUUAUUAAGUUCCCCAAUGUAGCUGUGCCAUAGCAUUUUAGAUUAUUUUAAAUUGUAUAUUACUUUCCUUUUAUUUUUCCUCUAAUGAUAGAUACUUAGGGCAUUUUUUUUAAAAACCCAAUGAGAAGACAGGUUAUUUUAUCUAUGAGUUUCAUUUCAGGAUAGUAAAAGUGUAUUACAAAAUGCUGGUUGUAACAACGGGGACAUUAGGUUGCAAAGGACAGAAUGGGCUGGUAUGUCAGUAGCAUCUCUUUCCCCAAAGACCUCAGUUGUGACAUGUGAAACUCUAAUUGCUAUGUGAUGUUUCCAGUUGUAAG
rnacentral:lncRNA from 1 species